rnacentral:rRNA from 1 species
UUAAAUUGAAGAGUUUGAUCAUGGCUCAGAUUGAACGCUGGCGGCAGGCCUAACACAUGCAAGUCGAACGGUAACAGAAAGCAGCUUGCUGCUUUGCUGACGAGUGGCGGACGGGUGAGUAAUGUCUGGGAAACUGCCCGAUGGAGGGGGAUAACUACUGGAAACGGUAGCUAAUACCGCAUAACGUCGCAAGACCAAAGAGGGGGACCUUAGGGCCUCUUGCCAUCGGAUGUGCCCAGAUGGGAUUAGCUAGUAGGUGGGGUAAAGGCUCACCUAGGCGACGAUCCCUAGCUGGUCUGAGAGGAUGACCAGCCACACUGGAACUGAGACACGGUCCAGACUCCUACGGGAGGCAGCAGUGGGGAAUAUUGCACAAUGGGCGCAAGCC